UUAAUGACUUAUCAAGUAAAAUGGCAUCAAGUCAUGUUUUUAACUUGGUGAAUUCUACAUUGGAUUGGGUGGCUGCGACUUUAGAUGCUCCCUCCUCUGGAGCUGUUGUUUUUGGAGUGCCGAUUGGCGGACAUCUUAGCAGUGAUCAUGACAUGCCCCCUAAGAAGCCUUUGACAGAUAAGGAAAUUGAUGAUCUAUGUGUGGAAUGGGUUCCUUAACCUUCAUUCCUCCUAUCACUGAAGAUAUGCAGUAUGAAUCUCCGGUGUUGGAAGGGGAUGAAGGAGUGCAUUGGGGAUUACAAAAUGGUCUUUAUCUCUCUAGAAGCACAAUUGUAUAUUUUAAGUCCAGUGACAUGGAUUCAUCAUGGAUUACUCUUGAGAGAAUCACUGUCAAGAGCAAGCGUGCUAAGAAUCUCUGGCGCUACAUUGUGGUUGAAGCUGUUUACCAGAAUUCUGGCCAAAUAGCCCCCCUCAAUGAAAUUGUUAAAUUGAAGGAGAAAUAUAGGUUAUUUGUUUUAUUAGAUGAGAGCAACUCAUUUGGUGUGCUUGGAACAGCCGGACGAGGUCUCACUGAAUUUUAUGGGGUUCUGGUUGAAAAGAUAGAUAUUAUUACUGCUGCAAUGGGACAUGCCUUAGCAGCAGAAGGAGGAUUCGGGGAAGUGCUAGAGUCAAUGAUCACCAAAGAUUGAGUAGUUCUGGGUACGUUUUUUCUGCUUCUUUGCCUCCAUAUCUUGCGAGUGCUGCCAUCACUGCCAUUGAUGUUCUUGAGGAGAACCCUGAAUUGAUUAUGAAGCUGAAGAAGAGUAUUGUGCUGGGAUGUGCAGGAUUGUCAGAUGUAUUGGGCCUUAUAUUAGCAAGCAAUCUAGAAUCACCUAUUAUGUUUCUUAAACUACAGAAGUCCACAGGUUCUGUGAAGAGUGACCUGCAACUCCUCAACAAUAUUGCUGACUGUUUGUUAAAGGAUGAUUCAAUACUUGCUUUGGUGUCCGAAAGGUCAACACUCAGAUAAAUGUUGCUUGCCCGUCGGAAUUAGACUUCCUGUUUCUGCUGCCUGUGCAGGAUCUGAUCUGCUCAAGGCAUCAGAUUCACUGAAACGGUUGCAGAAUCAGUGCUGAAGAAUCAAAUGUGACUGGUAAAUGUUGGCCUCGGCGUCAGGGAGAUCACCCUUCUUCACUCUAUCUUUGCCGCCUUGAUCGACUGGUAGGUCCAACCAAUAGGCACCAUCAUUUGAGCCACCUUGUGGAAGGUUAGC